AACAAGCGAGGCAGGAACAUUUGGAGCCCUGGGGAGGGACAGUUAUAUACUCAAACUUUAUUCCUUCAGCUGAACUGUCAGGUCAUGAAGAAUAACACAAAGUUGGACAGACAGGGACAAACACUCAAAUAAAUGAAUCAGUGACAGGCUUCAUUCACAUUCACUAUGAAUACAAUCAACUGUUCAGUUUUACACUACGUCCAGAGACAAAAGGAGAACGAGCAUGAAGCUACUUGCAGGUAGCAUAUCACUUUUCACAAUAGCCAGAAU